rnacentral:rRNA from 1 species
UUCAGGCCUAACACAUGCAAGUCGAACGUGAAGCCACCUUUGGGUGGUGGAAAGUGGCAGACGGGUGAGUAACGCGUGGGAACGUGCCUUUCGGUUCGGAAUAACCCAGGGAAACUUGGGCUAAUACCGGAUACACCCUUCGGGGGAAAGAUUCAUCGCCGAAAGAUCGGCCCGCGUCGGAUUAGCUUGUUGGUGGGGUAAAAGCCUACCAAGGCGACGAUCCGUAGCUGGUCUGAGAGGAUGAUCAGCCACACUGGGACUGAGACACGGCCCAGACUCCUACGGGAGGCAGCAGUGGGGAAUAUUGGACAAUGGGCGCAAGCCUGAUCCAGCCAUGCCGCGUGGGUGAAGAAGGCCCUAGGGUUGUAAAUCCCUUUCAGCGGGGAAGAUAAUGACGGUACCCGCAGAAGAAGCCCCGGCUAACUCCGUGCCAGCAGCCGCGGUAAUACGGAGGGGGCUAGCGUUGUUCGGAAUUACUGGGCGUAAAGCGCGCGUAGGCGGACCUGCAAGUCGGGGGUGAAAUCCCGAGGCUCAACCUCGGAACUGCCUUCGAUACUGCGGGUCUCGAGUCCGGGAGAGGUGAGUGGAAUUCCUAGUGUAGAGGUGAAAUUCGUAGAUAUUAGGAAGAACACCAGUGGCGAAGGCGGCUCACUGGGCCGUGACUGACGCUGAGGCGCGAAAGCGUG